rnacentral:rRNA from 1 species
UACGUAGGGGGCAAGCGUUGUCCGGAUUUAUUGGGCGUAAAGAGCGUGUAGGCGGCCAGGUAGGUCAGCUGUGAAAACUCGAGGCUCAACCUCGAGACGCCGGUUGAAACCAUCUGGCUAGAGUCCGGAAGAGGAGAGUGGAAUUCCUGGUGUAGCGGUGAAUGCGCAGAUAUCAGGAAGAACACCCGUGGCUAAGGCGGCUCUCUAGUACGGUACUGACGCUGAGACGCGAAAGCGUGGGGAGCGAACAGG